UACGUAGGGUGCGAGCGUUAAUCGGAAUUACUGGCGUAAAGCGUGCGCAGGCGGUCUGUUAAGACCGAUGUGAAAUCCCCGGGCUUAACCUGGGAACUGCAUUGGUGACUGGCAGGCUCUGAGUGUGGCAGAGGGGGGUAGAAUUCCACGUGUAGCAGUGAAAUGCGUAGAGAUGUGGAGGAAUACCGAUGGCGAAGGCAGCCCCCUGGGCCAACACUGACGCUCAUGACA
rnacentral:rRNA from 1 species